rnacentral:lncRNA from 1 species
GCCUGUAGGGGGUCCCGGUGGAUGUCCGUCCGACGGGUGACGAGGGUGACCCCAGACGAGGCGGCUUAAUUGGGAUGGGAACUGACUGGUGAGGCUUAAUCGUCGACCAAUGGGUCGAAUCUGCAUAAGGAAGGCAACCAGCACACACUCACAGGCGGGUCGUGGAAACAUUUUUUGUUUUUUCUCUUGGUCUGCCCCGCGUCGAAUUUUGAAGGCAGAAAAUGUCGGGAGGAGGCGAGCAUAACCAGGCCUUACUUAAACCUGUUAAAAGACAAUCCGGGUUCGCAGCGCGAUUUUAAAAAACAAGAUUGAAGAAGUCAGAAAUUCUAUCUACAUGCUGCAUAUGAUCAGUCCCAAAAAAAUUCGGAUUGUUCCAGGCACCGUCGCAUACCUGGAAAACGUGUUUAUUGUCAACUCUACAGGAUCGACCGAAGUCCAUGGAGUUGGGGAUAUUUGAUGUGCCCCAUAGCAGUGAGACGCCACUGUUUUUUUCGCCGUAUAAUUAUUAAUUAUUAUGAUGGGACUGAAAAUGAACUUAAGCAAGAUGUAAUGGUGAUACAGUAUGGCUUGGAGAACUUCAAAAGUCGGUUCGCGUCGUGGUUCCAAAGCAGUAACUUUAGGUUCCCUACAUUUACAGAAUGUUGCAUUAAGUACUCAUUUUUAAUUUGCAAUUUUUACAUUCAUUUUUACUUUUUUUCUUACUCUAUACAAGGCUUUAAUAUAAAGUUUUUUUAGCAAUAAUAAAUGGGUAAUAAAAAAUAACUCCAAAGAGACAAAAUUAGGUAGCAUAUUGUUUUUCUAUUACAGUUGGAAAUAACUAUUUUUCGUCUUGUUUUAAUAUUGAUAUUAUUUAAUUUUUUUUAGU